rnacentral:rRNA from 1 species
ACGAACGCUGGCGGCGUGCCUAAUACAUGCAAGUUGAGCGCUGAAGGUUGGUACUUGUACCCACUGGAUGAGCAGCGAACGGGUGAGUAACGCGUGGGGAAUCUGCCUUUGAGCGGGGGACAACAUUUGGAAACGAAUGCUAAUACCGCAUAAAAACUUUAAACACAAGUUUUAAGUUUGAAAGAUGCAAUUGCAUCACUCAAAGAUGAUCCCGCGUUGUAUUAGCUAGUUGGUGAGGUAAAGGCUCACCAAGGCGAUGAUACAUAGCCGACCUGAGAGGGUGAUCGGCCACAUUGGGACUGAGACACGGCCCAAACUCCUACGGGAGGCAGCAGUAGGGAAUCUUCGGCAAUGGACGAAAGUCUGACCGAGCAACGCCGCGUGAGUGAAGAAGGUUUUCGGAUCGUAAAACUCUGUUGGUAGAGAAGAACGUUGGUGAGAGUGGAAAGCUCAUCAAGUGACGGUAACUACCCAGAAAGGGACGGCUAACUACGUG